rnacentral:rRNA from 1 species
UACGUAGGGUGCGAGCGUUAAUCGGAAUUACUGGGCGUAAAGCGUGCGCAGGCGGUUUUGUAAGCCAGAUGUGAAAUCCCCGGGCUUAACCUGGGAAUGGCAUUUGGGACUGCAAGGCUUGAGUGCGGCAGAGGAGACUGGAAUUCCUGGUGUAGCAGUGAAAUGCGUAGAUAUCAGGAGGAACACCAGUGGCGAAGGCGACUUCCUGGCCCGUUCUUGACGCUGAGGCGCGAAAGCGUGGGGAGCAAACAGG